rnacentral:rRNA from 1 species
GAUGAACGCUGGCGGCGUGCCUAAUACAUGCAAGUCGAGCGAAUGGAUUAAGAGCUUGCUCUUAUGAAGUUAGCGGCGGACGGGUGAGUAACACGUGGGUAACCUGCCCAUAAGACUGGGAUAACUCCGGGAAACCGAGGCUAAUACCGGAUAACAUUUUGAACUGCAUGGUUCAAAAUUGAAAGGCGGCUUCGGCUGUCACUUAUGGAUGGACCCGAGUCGCAUUAGCUAGUUGGUGAGGUAACGGCUCACCAAGGCAACGAUGCGUAGCCGACCUGAGAGGGUGAUCGGCCACACUGGGACUGAGACACGGCCCAGACUCCUACGGGAGGCAGCAGUAGGGAAUCUUCCGCAAUGGACGAAAGUCUGACGGAGCAACGCCGCGUGAGUGAUGAAGGCUUUCGGGUCGUAAAACUCUGUUGUUAGGGAAGAACAAGUGCUAGUUGAAUAAGCUGGCACCUUGACGGUACCUAACCAGAAAGCCACGGCUAACUACGUGCCAGCCGCCGCAGUAA